rnacentral:rRNA from 1 species
AGAGUUUGAUCCUGGCUCAGAGCGAACGCUGGCGGCAUGCCUAACACAUGCAAGUCGCGCGGUCAGCAAUGGCAGCGGCGGACGGGUGCGUAACGCGUAGGAACGUGUCUUGAGGUGGGGGACAACCCUGGGAAACUGGGGCUAAUACCGCAUAUGGGCUGAGGCCCAAAGCCGUGAGGCGCCUUAGGAGCGGCCUGCGUCCGAUUAGCUAGUUGGUGGGGUAAAGGCCUACCAAGGCUCCGAUCGGUAGCUGGUCUGAGAGGACGAUCAGCCACACUGGGACUGAGACACGGCCCAGACUCCUACGGGAGGCAGCAGUGGGGAAUAUUGGACAAUGGGCGCAAGCCUGAUCCAGCAAUGCCGCGUGGGUGAAGAAGGUCUUCGGAUCGUAAAGCCCUUUCGACAGGGACGAUGAUGACGGUACCUGUAGAAGAAGCCCCGGCUAACUUCGUGCCAGCAGCCGCGGUAAUACGAAGGGGGCUAGCGUUGCUCGGAAUUACUGGGCGUAAAGGGCGCGUAGGCGGCUUAGUCAGUCAGGCGUGAAAUUCCUGGGCUUAACCUGGGGUCUGCGUUUGAGACGGCUGAGCUAGAGGGUAGGAGAGGGUCGUGGAAUUCCCAGUGUAGAGGUGAAAUUCGUAGAUAUUGGGAAGAACACCGGUGGCGAAGGCGGCGACCUGGCCUAUUACUGACGCUGAGGCGCGACAGCGUGGGGAGCAAACAGGAUUA